UAUUAUUAUUAUUUUGGCAGAUUAGUGCUUUAAAUUUAGAAUUUAAUUAUGUGGAAGUACACAAAUAAUAC
rnacentral:tRNA from 1 species